rnacentral:rRNA from 1 species
AGGGCACCACCAGGAGUGGAGCCUGCGGCUUAAUUUGACUCAACACGGGAAAACUCACCCGGCCCGGACACCGUAAGGAUUGACAGACUGAGAGCUCUUUCUUAAUUCGGUGGGUGGUGGUGCAUGGCCGUUCUUAGUUGGUGGAGCGAUUUGUCUGGUUAAUUCCGAUAACGAACGAGACUCUGGCCUAUUAAAUAGACGAUAUAUCUAUCUAGUAUAUCGCGCUUCUUAGAGGGACGAGCGGCGUCCAGCCGCAUGAAAUAGAGCAAUAACAGGUCUGUGAUGCCCUUAGAUGUCCGGGGCUGCACGCGCGCUACACUGAAAGAAUCAGCGUGCGUUUUACCUAGUUCGGAAGAACCGGGUAACCCAAGUAAAUUCUUUCGUGCUUGGGAUAGGGAAUUGCAAUUAUUUCCCUUGAACGAGGAAUUCCCAGUAAAUGCGGGUCAUAAGCUCGCGUUGAUUACGUCCCUGCCCUUUGUACACACCGCCCGUCGCUACUACCGAUUGGAUGACUUAGUG